GGCUCUGAACUGUCAGCGCAGAGCCCGUUGCGUGGCUGGAACUCAUUGGACCAUGAGAUCAUGACCUGAGCCCAAGUCGGAUGCUUAACCAACUGAGCCACCCAGGUGCUCCUCAUAGGAUUAUUAUCAGUGUUAAAUGCAUAUAAAUUGCUUUGCAGCAUCUGACAUAUAAGGGCCUAAUAAUUAUCAGCUGUUUUCAUUCUUAUCAGCAAUAUUAAAUUAGAAAUAUUAAUGAUAAUAAACAAUAUUAAUGAUAAAAGGGACAGCUCAGAAUAUUCUGAGAAAUCCUACUUAGAAAGGAUUUAUCUCAGGGCACUUGGGUGGCUCAGUCAGUUGAGUGUCUGACUCUUGAUUUUGAUUCAGGUCAUGAUUCCAGGGCCAUGGAAUUGAGCCCUGUGUUGGGCUCCCCACCGAGCAUGGAGCCUGCUUAAGAUUCUCUCCCUCUCUUUCUCUCUCUCUCCUUCUCCCUCUGCUCCCUUCCCUGCUUGCUCUAUCUUUUUAUAAAAGAAAAAGAAAAGAAAAAGAUUUAUCUCAAGGAUUUCUCAGAAAACUGAGGGGACUAAAUCCAUUAUAUUAAAAAGAAUUACUAAAUGUUUACCAUGUGCAAACUUGGGCUGAGUUUACUAAGACAAAUAACACAAAGUUCCUAUUACUGAUGAGUAAGCAUACGUAUGUGUAUAUUCAACGGGUACUGUAAGUCAACAAAUAAUAGAAAAAUGUGAAAACUACAAAGUGAGCAAAGUACAUAUAUAAAGCAUUUUGUUACGGCUAAUUUUAAAAGAGACACUUUUCCCUUAUUCAACAUAUUUACCACAGAAUCUAACCAUGAUAUGAGAGAGGUUUGUUUUAAAUUUUUUUAAAUGUUUAUUUUUGAGAGAGAAAGAGAGAUUGACGGAGUGUGAGCAGGGGAGGGGCAGAGAGGAAAGGAGACACAGAAUUGGAAGUAGGCUUCAGGCUCCAAGCUGUCAGCACAGAGCUCAAUGUGGAGCUUGAACUCACAAACCGUGAGAUCCGUGACCUGAGCCAAAGUCAGAUGCUUAACUGACUGAGCCACCCAGGCGCCCCAAGAGAGGUUUGUUUUAGACAGUCAAGUUUAUUGGUGGGCAUUCUGGGCUUAAAAUCUGUAGUAAAGACGGGUGUAUAAUAUUAUCUUGCCUACCCAACUAUAAGAACUACUCAUGGGCAUAAACUCAAAAGAAAUAGAAAUUUUUGGUCUGUUGACUUUUUUUUUUUUCAAAAAGAAGUAUGCAGGUGGCAGUUAAAACAAGAUUCAAAAUAAGAAGCAGGAUAUUAUUCUUUGUGGCAAGUUGAAGCCCCCAGAGCAAGGGUUGAUUUGAAAAAUAUUUGUUUGACAUUUCCUAUACCAAGUGCUUUAAUAGGCACUGGGAAGGGCUGAGAAGAAAGGCACACAGUGCUGUGAUAGUGUAUAAUGGUGCAAUGAUGUAGUCUCUGGGUUGAAGGGAGACAGUCUUUUGAGGAAGCAAUGUUUCCAUUGAGAUCUAAAGGCCGAGGAGAAGUAGGCAAAUGUAGAGUGGAUAAAGGGAGAGUAUUCCCAGUAGCAGAAACAGAACAUGCAAAGAUUUCCUAGAUAACAAAACAUGGUAUAUUCAAGGAAGUGAAAGGAGGCUAGAAAUUGAAGAGUUGAAUGGAAAGAGAUGAAACUAGGUAGGCAGAGGUCAAAUCAUACUGGUUUUUGUAGGCUCUAGUCAAGGUUUCAGUUCUUACCCCAACAGUAAUUGAAAACACGGAAGAGUUCAAAUGGGAAUAUAGAGGUAAGGAUAGACGUGUUGUCAGAAGGGAAGCACGUUCGGUUCAUUUUGUCUUCAACGUGCUGGAUUAGAAGAGGCAAAAUUGGAUGAAGGGAGAUCGAUUAGAUUACUAUAUUAAUCCAGAUGAGAGUGGAGUAUUUUGGCUGAGACCUGGUUAUGAUGGUGGAAACCAAGAGAAAUGGACAAAUUGGGAAACAAAAUUGACAGUACUUGAUGGAUUGGAAAUGGAUUCAAGGGAGAAGGAAGUGACAAAAAUCAUUUCUGGGUUUCUGGUGGCAGAGCUGGGUGGACAGUGGUACUAUUUAGAGAUAUUGUGGGUUUGGUUCCAGACCACUGUAAUAAAGUAAAUACCACAACAGAGCAACUCAAAUGAAUUUUUUGGUUUUCCAGUGCAUAUAAAAAGUUAUGCUUACAAUGUACUGUAGUUUACAAAGUGUGCAAUGGCAUUUUUGUAUAAUAAUAUAUGCAUAUGUAAAGCAAUGUACAUCCCUUAAUUAAAUACUUUAUUGCUAAAACAUGCUAAUCAUCAUCUGAGCUUUCGGUGAGUCAUAAUCUCUUUGCUGGUGGAGGCUCUUGUCCCGAUGUUGAUGGCUGUUGAUUGAUCAGCGUGGUGGUUGGUGAAGUUGGGGUGGCUGUGGCAAUUUCUUAAAAUAAGACAAAAACGAAGUUUUCUGCAUUGAUUGACUCUUUCUUUCAUGAGGAUUUCCCUUUAGCACGUGAUGCUGUUGUGUAGCUUUUUACCCAUGGUAGAAUUUCUUUCAAAAUUGGAGUCAAUCCACUCAAACCCUGCUGCUGUUUUAUCAACUAAGCUUACAUAAUAUUCUCAAUCCUUUGUAGUCAUUUCAACAGUUAUCACAGUUUCUUCACUAGGAGUGGAUUCCCUCUUUCACCUUGCCCUUUUCUGUUAUGGAGACAGCUUCUUUCCUGCAACCUCAUGGACCAACCUUUGCUGGCUUCCACCUUUUCUUCUGCAGCUUCCUCACCUCUCUCAGCCUUUACAGAAUUGAAGAGAGUUAGGGCCUUGCUCUGGAUCAGGCUUUGGCUUAAAGGAAUAUUAUGGCUAAUUUGAUCUUAUAUCCAGACCACUCAAAUUUUCUCCACAUCAGCGAUAAGGUUGUUUUGAUUUCUUAUGUGUGUGUUCACUAGAGUAACACUUUUGAUUUCCUUCCAGAACUUUUCCUUUGCAUUCAAAACUCUGCUCUUUGGCACAAGAGGCCUAGAUUUCAGCUUAUCUCAGCUUUUGACAUGCCUUCCUCACUGAGCUUAAUCAUUUCUAGUUUUUGAUCUAAAGUGAGAGACAUGUGACUCUUCCUUUCACUUGAACAAUUAAAAGGCCAUUGCAGGGUUAUUAAUUGGUCUAAUUUCAAUAUUGUUAUGUCUCAGGGAAUAGGGAGGUUUGAAGACAGGGAAAGAGAUGGAUGUCAGCUGGUCAGUGGAUCAGUCAGAACAUAUAACAUUUAUUGACUAAGUUUGCUGUCUUAUAUGGGUGCAGUUUGUAGCACCCCAAAACAAUUACAAUAGUAACAUCAGAGACACCUGAUCACAGAUCACCGUAACAACUAUAAUAAUAAUGAAAAAGUUUGAAAUAUGGUAAGAAUUACCAAAAUGUGACACAGAGACAUGAAGUAAGCAAAUGCUGUUGGAAAAAUGAUGCCAACAGACUUGUUUGAUGCAGAGUUGCCAUAGACUUUCAAUUUGUAAAAAACGUAUCAUCUGUGAAGUGCAAUAAAGUGAAUUGCAGUAUAAUGAGGUACGUCUGCACUGAGGGAUCAUAGGAGGAGGUUAGAUUUGGGUGGUACUAUUGUGAGUUUAGAAGGAAUGACACUUCUAUUAUUUUUACACAUAUCAGGAUACCAGAGUACAGAAUGGUGGACUUUGUAGCCACAAGUGUAUUGAAUGGGUUGGGGGAGAAUGUAGAACAGGAUUUACGUUAGUUUUUAGUAGUUUGGGCAAGUAAUAGAAUAGUAGCAGAGAAUGAGAAGAGAAGAGACAGUACCAUAUUUAUUUGUAGAGACGAACUUCUCUUCCAAACUACCAGCUGACAUUAGUGUUUGUGUGAAGCACUUGACUGAAUGGAAUGAAAGGGAAAUGGAGCAGCGCAAUCCCGGGUCAGGCUGAGAAAUACUGACUUUGUUUCCCUUUUCCUUCUUCCCUGUCUUCAAACUCUCCUGCGUAGUGGCACCCUGACAGUGAUCUUAAAGCUGUUCUCAAAGCUGAAAAUGACCAAAAUCUUUUGGGAUCUGCUCCAGAUACUGUGAAGGGGCAGAGGAGGAGGAUUCCACAGAGUCUGUUUGAAGUCAGGGGAGGUAGAAAAGAAAUCUGCUUCCUAAAUGUAAUCCCAUCAACUUUAGCUCCUUCAGUUUCUUUCCGUCAGGAUCCCAUCCAUCCCCAGUGAAGUUUUUGUCUGUAGUUCCGUUACCAAUUGAAAAAUUUCAUCUCAUUUAUGACCUUUCCAUAAAAUCAGAUCUUAACCUCUUUACAUUCUAUCCAGCUUCUGGAAGUGAUAGAUUGAUAUCAAUCCCGCUCACUUGUGCUGGCUCUUGUCAGUUAGUGGGUAAUGUUUGUGAGUUCUUGCAACUUCCCAUUACUUGAACUCAGGACAUCAGCAAUGGAUAUUCUGGUUGGAGCCUUAGAGGAUUUUGCUCCAUCUGCACCACUAUCUCAGCUACUGAGGGGCCAGUGUGACACUUCUCUAUGGUUGUAUAUCCGUUUUAAUAUCCCAGGAUAUUUAUAAGCCAAAAGGUUGGGGAGGGGACAAGUGUCACUAAUGGAUAGUGCCAUAGAAAAAAAAAUCCAGCUGUACUUGAGAUUCUAAAGCAGUUUACUGGCCUGAUGCACACAUGAGUCCCUAACUGUUAUGUAACCUGUUAUAUAGUUAUAACUACUAUAUCAUUAUAAUUAUUAUAUGUGAGAACUCAUCAAGGACCCCCAAAAUUUGUCAGUCUUCAUAGAUUAACACUGCAUCAUGUAUACAGUAUACUUUAGACACGAGCCAAGAAUAUUUCUCUAGUUUCUCCCUAGAUGGACAUAGAUCAUUAGAAGAAUGAUACAGAGAACUGGAGAGCAUUUCAUCUCAUGCAGCUGUGUGAAAGAGACAUUAAGGCAAAAUUAGACCCAGGAAGCUGCAGAAUUAAAGUAGUGGCUUAGACAACUUUAUAUGAAGUACAUCAGGCUACUGACCCCUAAUGAGGUUCUUAGAAACUAGUCUUGGGGUUGUGUAACAGAAAGCUAUUUGUUGUAUGCUCUCCCCUUCUUCUGGGGCAUGUGACCAGCCAGUUUUAACUCUAUUUUCCAGCUUCCUUUGCCAUGAGGUGAGGCUAUGUGACUAAAUUCUUCCCAGUGGAAGGUGAACAAAAAGGUAUUAAAACAAAAUUUGCUUAAAACAAAAUUUCUUGCUCCAGACUCCCUCUUUUCAUACCACGUGAGCUGGGUCAUAGACAUGCCUGUGACUCAGUUUCAACCGUGCAGAUGAGGACAACCUUCUCACACAGGGAUCAGCAUACCACAGCCCAUGGGACAAAUCUGGCCUUGUUUUUGACUUAUUUUUACAUUUUAAAUGGUUGAAAAAACUCAAAAGAAGAAUAAUAUUUCAUGACAUGUGAGAAUUAUAUGAAAUUCAAAUUUCAGUGUCCAUAAAUAAGUUUUAUUGGAAAAUAACCACGUUCAUUUUUUAAAACUUACCGUCUGUGGUUGCUUUUGCAGCAGGGUUGAAUAGUUGCAAUGGAGACGGUAUGGCCUGCAAAGCCUAAAAUAUUUGCUAUUUUGUCCUUUACAGAAGAAGCUUGCUUACUUCUGCAAUAGCAUAUGGCUAAGCACAAAAUAAAAUGAAUCUGGGACCCUAAAUGUCCUGAGGGAGAAAGGCUGCCAUACCACAUGAAUGGCCAGACUAUUAUCUUUAAGACACUUCAUUAGGGGCGCCUGGAUGGUUCGGUUCAUUGAGCAUCCGACUUCAGCUCACGUCAUGAUCUCAUUGCUCAUGAGUUCAAGCCCCGCGUUGGGCUCUGUGCUGACAGCUCAGAGCCUGGAGCCUGCUUCAGAUUCUGUCUCCAUCUCUCCAUCCCUCCUUGGCGCACGCUCUGUCUCUCUCAAAUAUAAAUAAACAUAAAAAGAAGACACUGCAUUAAAAAUUUAUGUCAGCCUAUUCUUUCCCUCAUAUAGAAAUUAAUACUGGAAGUAGAGUGUUGUUGUAACAAAAAUCGAAGAUCUAUGACAUUGUCUUAACAGUUGAGCCAUGGAUGGUGAAGAAUGGAUUAUAUUUAGAAAACUGGAAACAGAUACCAGUGGAUAAUGUUAGUAGCUUCUUACUGAUAUAGAAAGAGAGAAGCAUGAUGUUACCAUAUGAAAACAAUGAAGGAUAGGAACUUGUUUUUACAUGAGGAAGUAUUGAGAUCGAGUUGGUUAAAAAUUAAGGUUCAAAGCUGAACUAUGUGAGGUAGGUACUAUUAUUAACUUCAUUUUAUAAAUUGGGAAAUUGAGAUGUAGAAGCUCAUAUGAAUGUAUGUAGCAGAGCUAAAAUUUGAACCCAGACAGUCUGAUUCAGAGAUCAUGGGCUUAACCACUCUGGUGGAGUUUUCUUAUCAUGUUAUUUACUGUUUCUCUAGGCAAAUGAAAAAUUUCCAAUAUAUAAACUUUUAUAAAAAUAUCAAUCUGAGAGGCUACCAUCAAGUCUUAUUUAAUAUGACAUAUUGAUAUGAUGAUAGGCUUUGAGUAGAUAGAUGAGUGGAUAGAGAUGAAACCUCUAUUAAUGAUCAACUUCCAACUUUGAUGAGCAACCAAUGGUCAUGAACCCAGAUAAAAUCACAGAUUCUACAAUCAACAUUAGGUUUCUUGGGUGGGAUGAUGGAUGGGAAUAUAUCAAGGCAUUCUUACCAAAGUUCAUAAUGGACACUUUAACCUUUUCUCAUUAAUAAGUAAGAGUAAAUCCCAAUUGCUAUUCAGACUAAUUGGGCUUUGGUGCCAGCUCAUGCCUCAUUUGGGAAUAAUUGUGAGAUCGCACACAUAGGAACUUGAAAAAUGGCUAUCCUUAAAUGGCAACUACUCCAGAACUAUUCCUUGAGUUAGCAUGGACAGCCCUGCCUUGUGACCAAAAUAUGCCAGAUAAAGUACAUAUAUUGGAGAUCUCAGUACUUAAUUUCAGUGCAGUUUGGAGUUCACAGGAGAAGCACAAAAAUAGCCUUUGGGCUCUGGUAAAAACAGAAACUUACUAUACCCAACAAAGCUGUCCUUCAGAAAAAAAGGAGAAAUAAAGGCUUUCCUGAACAAACAAAGCUGAGGAAAUUCAUCACAGAUAGGCCUAUCUUACAAGAAGUGCUAAAGGGUGUUCUUCAGGUGGAAAUAAAAAGAAAUUAAUUAACAUAGAAAAAAUGUAUGAAUUUGUAAAACUCACUGGUAAUAGUGAAAAUAUAAUCAAAGUCAAAUUUUCUAAUAUUGUAAUGGUGCAUAAUUCACUUACAACUCCAGUUUAAAUGUUAAAAACAAAUGUAUUAAAAGUAACCAUAAUGACAAUAAUUUUUUAUGGAUGCACAAUAUAAAAAGAUGUGCAGUGUAACAUCAAUAACCUAAAAUGUGAGUGGGAAAGAUGUAAAAGUAUAAAUUUUUCUGUGCUAUUGAAGUUAAGUUGUUAUCAGCCUAAAAUAGCACAUUAUAACUAAAAGAUAAUUUAUGUAAGCCUCAUGGUACCACAAAGGAAAAACCUACAGUACAUACACAAAAUAUUAUGAUAAGGGAUUCAUACCACCACAAGAAGUCAUCAAAUCACAAAGGAAGAUAGGAGAGGAAAGAAGAAACAAAGUGUCUACAAACAGAAAAUGAGCUAUAUGGCACUAAGUAAGUCCUUACUUAUUUACAAUAAUUACUUUAAAUAUAAACGGAUUAUUUUCUCCAAUAAAGAGACAUGGAAUGGAUUAAAAAAAAGGAUUCAAUGAUAUGCUGACCUCAAAAGACUCACUUUUAAGGACACACAUAGUUUGAGAGUGAAGGAAUGGAGAAAGAUAUUUCAAGCAAAUGGAAAACAGAAGAGAUCAUGGGUAACCAUACUUAUAUCAGACAAAAUAGACUUUAGGCUAAAAAUGGCCCAAGAAACAGUGAAGGUCAUUAUAUAAUGAGCACAGCAUCUAAAUAUAUAAAGCAAAUACUAAUAGAACGAAAAGGAGAAAAAAACAGCAAUACAAUAGGAGUUGGGGACUUUAAUAACCCAUUCUUAACAAUGCAUAGAUCAUCUAGAGAGAUUCAAUAAGAAAACCGUAGAAAUGAAAAACACUGCAGACCAAAUGGACAUAACAGAUACAUACAGAAUAUUUCCAUCCAAUACAACCAGAAUGCACAUUGUUCUCAAGUGCACAUGGAACAUUUUCUAGGAUAGACCUCAUGUUAAGCUGGUAAAGAAGUAACAAAUUCAGGAAGAGGGAAAUUAUAUCAAGUAUUGUUUCUGACCACAAUGGUAUGAAACUAGAAAUCAACAACAGGAGGAGAGCUGGCAAAUUUACAAAUACAUGGAAAUUCAUAAUAUGUGAUCAAUACACUAUAGAACAAUUGAUGAGUCAAAGAAGAUAUCAAAAAAAUUAAAAAAAAAAUCUUGAGACAAAUGAAACUGGAAACAGAUUUAGUAAAACUCACAAAAUGCAGCAAAAACAGUUCUUUUGUUUAAUUUA